AAGAAGUUAGUUAAAAUUUAACAUUAGUAUGUCAAACUAAAAUUAUUAGAUAUCUAAUACAUCUUU
rnacentral:tRNA from 1 species